UACGUAGGGGGCAAGCGUUGUCCGGAUUUACUGGGCGUAAAGAGCGUGUAGGCGGCCAAGCAGGUCCGUUGUGAAAACUGGAGGCUUAACCUCCAGACGUCGACGGAAAUCGCGUGGCUAGAGUCCGGAAGAGGAGAGUGGAAUUCCUGGUGUAGCGGUGAAAUGCGCAGAUAUCAGGAGGAACACCGGUGGCGAAGGCGGGUCUCUGGGCCGAUACUGACGCUGAGGAGCGAAAGCGUGGGGAGCGAACAGG
rnacentral:rRNA from 1 species